UAAUUAAUUAAUUAAUUUUUUUUUAUAAAUAGAAAAAAAAGCAAGAAGACAAGUGAAGUCAGCCUAUCAGGAUAAGGAGGCAGAGAAGAGAAGAGAAGCAUUCAGAAACCAACCAAACAACCACCACUACUGAGUUUUUCUUUACUGCUACUGCUACUGCCACGGCUGACGCUGAUUAAUCGGAAAGAGAUUUGGAAAAGACUCACUCACCCGGUUAAAAACCAUGAAACCAAGGUCCAAAUCGACUCCCUCAAUAUUGACUGUCUUGGCAUGCCCG
rnacentral:lncRNA from 1 species